ACACAGGUGCUGCAUGGCUGUCGUCAGCUCGUGUCGUGAGAUGUGGGUUAAGUCCGUAACGAGCGCAACCCUGUCCUUAGUUACCAGCACGUUAUGGUGGGCACUCUAAGGAGACUGCCGGUGACAAACCGGAGGAAGGUGGGGAGUGACGUCAAGUCAUCAUGGCCCUUACGGCCUGGGCUACACACGUGCUACAAUGGUCGGUACAAAGGGUUGCCAAGCCGCGAGGUGGAGCUAAUCCCAUAAAACCGAUCGUAGUCCGGAUCGCAGUCUGCAACUCGACUGCGUGAAGUCGGAAUCGCUAGUAAUCGUGAAUCAGAAUGUCACGGUGAAUACGUUCCCGGGCCUU
rnacentral:rRNA from 1 species